AAUAAAGCUACCCGUGAAACAAACCGGAUAAAUUCUAUGAGAUUGAUUUACAUACAAGUGUCAGGAAACUGACUUUAGCAGAAGCGGAAAUGACGUCUAUUCACACUCCAGUCAGGAGGUGGCGCCAAAAUCAAAAACAGACGCCACAGCACAUGGACUUCGCCAUUUUGCAUUGGACUGGAUCGUCAUCUCACUAGUUUACGAUCGCCAAAUUGUAGGUGAGUAAAGUUAACAAGUUUGAUGUGAUUAUCUAAAAUAUAAUUGUCUGUUGUUUAAUUACAUGUGUGACGCGUUGCAUGUUUCAGAGUAAAAUACACCUCACUACACAGAUGGUCUGUUGGAAUAUACAGCAUCAUUUCAUCGUCUAUAUGGUGGGAUUUAAUGAAAGAAAAUCAUUAAAUAUUGUGUUUUUUAGUCUUGUUCUAGUUGAAGACAUCUGUAUCUACCUCAAAGAAGGCAUGGAGAGACACAUUAAAGAAUAUGUGAAUUGUGAAAUUGGUGAGUUGGGGAUUGCACAGACAGUGGAAGUUUUGCAAAACCUACUUGGUGUCACACAUGGGUGUGAAAUUACUUUUUGGACUCAUUUAUGCACUUAAACUGAACUACCAGAAGAACCUCAGGUGCACCUUUGACCUUUCAAAAAAUCCUAAUGGAACUGGACUUGAUACAACCAAGCAAUCACUGAAAGAUGCUUCAGUGAAUACCUGACAGACACGCUGAUACAUCCCCCUCAAAGUGGGUACAUUUUUGUACAUUUACAAGUGAACUUUUUAACAUUAAAGGAAUAUUGCACUUUCAUUAAACAAAAAUACUGAUAAUUUACUGUCUGUCAUCCAAGAUGCUUGUCUUUUUUUGUUCAGUCGAGAAGAAAUUAUGUUUUUUGAGAGAAACAUUCCAGGAUUUUUCUUAAUUUAAUAGACCUUAUUGGACCUCAACAGUUAAGUUUCAAAGCAGCUUUAAAGGGCUCUAAACGAUCCCAACCAACCGAGGCAUAAGGGUUUAAUCUAUGCAAAAGAUUAUCAUUUUUGGCGAGAAAACUUUUAAAACACAACAACUUGUCUUGCAUUAUCCAUGUGACACACAGUGCGACAUUGUGUACUACGUAAUAAAUGUUAACACAUCACAAAUGUGAAACGCACAUUUGUUGACCAUUUUAAAUAAUAAACGGACCCAAAGACAUUAAUUAGUAUCAUUCCACAUACAACAACAUCUGAACGCUCCUCUUUCUCCUCGCUUGUAAACACUGGAACGGUAGUUUCAGUUAUGUCAUGCUAGUGUGUCAAACAGCUAGUGCAAAACGUUGUGAUUUAAAAGUCCUUUUUUAUUUUUAUUUUUGAAAAUGACAAUCGUUUAGCUAGAUAAGACCAUUAUGCCUUAUUUGGGAUAAUUUAGAGCCCUUUUAAAUCUGCAUUGAAACCGUAAACUUGAGGUCGAAUAAAGUCUUAAAUUGAGAAAAAUCCUGGAAUCUUUAACUCAAACUUUAUUUCUUCUUGACUGAACAAAGAAAAACAUAAACAUAUGGGGUUAGAAAAUUAUCGGGAUUUUUGUUUUAUUAAAUUGGAAUAUUGCUUUAACAAUUUUAAAAGUUGAAAAGUUUUUGAAAAAUGUAAUUGAUGUAUAUCUAACAUGUAAUUAGAGAUGCAUGAAAAUUGUUAAUGGCACACAGCCACUCAAAACACUAAGCCAUGUGCCAUUUUUUUUUCUUACCACCUAAUCAUUCUAAAUUAUUAUUAUUACAUCAUGUCACAGAUUUCUGAAAAUCUUAAAGUAAUGUUGUUGUCACUGAUUUAUGUCUACCUCGAGUUUUACAGGGUUUUUUGUAUUUCUGCAGCCUGUUUGCUCAAAAUGUUUGCUCUUAUUUUUGGAAUGAGGUUGAUUGUGGCUGAAAUUUCUAAACACACUUAUUUAUUUAUUUUUGCACACAAUACGAGGUGUAUAAGCCAUGGCUGUCAUGCUAGUUGUUAGCUGCUCUUUUUUUGCUGUCUUAUGAGUAAUGCCUUGAAGUAUUAAAUAAAUUGAU